rnacentral:tRNA from 1 species
GCGGCGGUGGCGUAAUAGCGUACAGCAUUCUUGCCCAGUCAGCUGGAGGUGCGGGUUCGAGUCCCGCCUGGCGCU